rnacentral:rRNA from 1 species
UGGGGAAUAUUGGACAAUGGGGGCAACCCUGAUCCAGCCAUGCCGCGUGAGUGAUGAAGGCCCUAGGGUUGUAAAGCUCUUUUGUGCGGGAAGAUAAUGACGGUACCGCAAGAAUAAGCCCCGGCUAACUUCGUGCCAGCAGCCGCGGUAAUACGAAGGGGGCUAGCGUUGCUCGGAAUCACUGGGCGUAAAGGGUGCGUAGGCGGGUUUCUAAGUCAGAGGUGAAAGCCUGGAGCUCAACUCCAGAACUGCCUUUGAUACUGGAAGUCUUGAGUAUGGCAGAGGUGAGUGGAACUGCGAGUGUAGAGGUGAAAUUCGUAGAUAUUCGCAAGAACACCAGUGGCGAAGGCGGCUCACUGGGCCAUUACUGACGCUGAGGCACGAAAGCGUGGGGAGCAAAACAGGAUUAGAUACCCUGGUAGUCCACGCCGUAAACGAUGAAUGCCAGCCGUUAGUGGGUUUUACUCACUAGUGGCGCAGCUAACGCUUUAAGCAUUCCGCCUGGGGAGUACGGUCGCAAGAUUAAAAACUCAAAUGAAUUGACGGGGUCAUAGCUGUUUCCU